AACGAACGCUGGCGGCAUGCCUAACACAUGCAAGUCGAACGAGACCUUCGGGUCUAGUGGCGCACGGGUGCGUAACGCGUGGGAACCUGCCCUUAGGUUCGGAAUAACUCCCCGAAAGGGGUGCUAAUACCGGAUAAUGUCUUCAGACCAAAGAUUUAUCGCCUUUGGAUGGGCCCGCGUUGGAUUAGCUAGUUGGUAGGGUAAAAGCCUACCAAGGCGACGAUCCAUAGCUGGUCUGAGAGGAUGAUCAGCCACACUGGGACUGAGACACGGCCCAGACUCCUACGGGAGGCAGCAGUGGGGAAUAUUGGACAAUGGGCGAAAGCCUGAUCCAGCAAUGCCGCGUGAGUGAUGAAGGCCUUAGGGUUGUAAAGCUCUUUUACCCGGGAUGAUAAUGACAGUACCGGGAGAAUAAGCGCCGGCUAACUCCGUG
rnacentral:rRNA from 1 species